UACGUAGGGUGCAAGCGUUAAUCGGAAUUACUGGGCGUAAAGCGUGCGCAGGCGGUGAUGUAAGACAGUUGUGAAAUCCCCGGGCUCAACUGGGGAACUGCACGGGAAACAGCAGGGCUUGAGUUCGGGAGAGGGAAGCGGAAUUCCGGGUGUGAUGCGGUGGAAAUGACGUAGAUAUCUGGAGGAACACCGGUGGCGAAGGCGGCAUCCUGGACCGAGAUUGACGCUGAGGCGCGAAAGCCAGGGGAGCAAACAGGG
rnacentral:rRNA from 1 species